AAAAAAUGGAUGCUCCCCCAAAAUAUCAAAAUAUGUCAUAUUAUGAUAAUGUCCAAAGGCAACAUGAAGAAAAAGGCUGCCUCUAUGCUUGUAUGUUUGCGAUGUGUUGCUGCUUCUGCUGCAAUGAAAGGACUUGUUGUUGCUGUUAGCACAAAUUAUUCAUCGUCGUUGAUUAUGUUAUUCAGACUCUUUAAAAAUAUUAUCUGAUGUGUACGUUUUUUCAAAGAUUAUGUAUUUUUAUAUGAUUCGAUAUGAAUACAAUAACAAUAUUUAAGAAUUCG
rnacentral:misc_RNA from 1 species